UAAACGACUCUCGGCAACGGAUAUCUCGGCUCACGCAUCGAUGAAGAACGUAGCAAAAUGCGAUACUUGGUGUGAAUUGCAGAAUCCCGUGUUCCAUCGAGUUUUUGAACGCAAGUUGCGCCCGAAGCCAUCCGGCCAAGGGCACGCCUGCCUGGGCGUCACGC
rnacentral:rRNA from 1 species